AACUACAGGGUAAGUGCCACCCUGAACAAGCCCGAUGUCUGAUCUUGGAAGCUAAGCAGGGUCGGGCCUGGUUAGUACUUGGAUGGGAGACCAUCUAGGAAGACCAGGUGCUGUAGGCA
rnacentral:rRNA from 1 species